UUUUGUGGGGGUUUUAAAGGUAUUUGGGGGGUUUUGUAAUAUUGUAUGUCGUUCUGUGCCUGGAGAUAAUUGAGUUAGUUCAGUUCCUGACUCAAUUAUCUCUCAGGCACAGAGGGGGAGUUUGUAACUUGUAACUAGUCCCCUCUUAGGUCCAGGAGGGGAAUUAUCCUGUUUGUGUGGGAGUGUCAGGGGCGUGCUUAACUGUGUCUAAAAUUGUAUAAAAGCAGGCCAUCUGGCCAGAUUAAAACAUUACAGCUUGUACUCCCAGAAAUAUGUGU